UACGAAGGGGGCUAGCGUUGCUCGGAAUUACUGGGCGUAAAGCGCACGUAGGCGGUUUCUUAAGUCGGUGGUGAAAUCCUGGAGCUCAACUCCAGAACUGCCUUCGAUACUGGGAAACUUGAGUCCGGGAGAGGUGAGUGGAACUGCGAGUGUAGAGGUGAAAUUCGUAGAUAUUCGCAAGAACACCAGUGGCGAAGGCGGCUCACUGGCCCGGUACUGACGCUGAGGUGCGAAAGCGCGGGGAGCAAACAGG
rnacentral:rRNA from 1 species